ACUGCUCAGUAACACGUGGAUAACCUACCCUUGGGACGGGGAUAAACCCGGGAAACUGGGUAUAAUACCCGAUAGUCCUCGAAUGCUGGAAUGCGUCGAGGGCGAAAGCUCCGGCGCACAAGGAUGGGUCUGCGGCCUAUCAGGUAGUAGUGGGUGUAAUGGACCUACUAGCCUACAACGGGUACGGGUUGUGAGAGCAAGAGCCCGGAGAUGGAUUCUGAGACACGAAUCCAGGCCCUACGGGGUGCAGCAGGCGCGAAACCUUUACAAUGCUGGCAACAGCGAUAGGGGGACCUCGAGUGCCAGGUUACAAAUCUGGCUGUCGUUGUGUCUAAAAAACACGAUAUAGCAAGGGCCGGGCAAGACCGGUGCCAGCCGCCGCGGUAACACCGGCGGCUCGAGUGGUAACCGCUAUUAUUGGGUCUAAAGGGUCUGUAGCCGGCUGAAAAAGUCUCUUGGGAAAUCUGGCUGCUCAACAGUCAGGCUUUCAGGAGAUACUCUUCGGCUCGAGACCGGGAGAGGUGAGAGGUACUUCAUGGGUAGGGGUGAAAUCUUGUAAUCCUUGAAGGACCACCAGUGGCGAAGGCGUCUCACCAGAACGGAUCUGACGGCAAGGGACGAAAGCUAGGGGCACGAACCGGAUUAGAUACCCGGGUAGUCCUAGCCGUAAACGAUACUCGCUAGGUGUCGGCCACGGUGCGACCGUGGUCGGUGCCGUAGGGAAGCCGUGAAGCGAGCCACCUGGGAAGUACGGCCGCAAGGCUGAAACUUAAAGGAAUUGGCGGGGGAGCA
rnacentral:rRNA from 1 species